CGUACACGUUUACUCCAUAUUCCUUUAUUUUCUGUCUAAACACGACUUAAUGCAAGUUUAACCCUUCAAUGUAAAAGGUCAUAUGGCAAUACAAUGCUUUUUUCAAAUGAUUUGAUACCGGGAAAUUGGUGGUCUUUCUUUAAUUUAAACCAUGUCAGCUAUGUAGUUUUAUCCACAGGAGCUUGGGUAUAUGAUACAGAUAUUUUUUUU
rnacentral:lncRNA from 1 species